rnacentral:tRNA from 1 species
GACAUCGUAGCUCAGCUAGCAGAGCGUGCGCGUACAAAGCGUAGUCGGCGUCCAUGCGUGGGUUCGAGUCCCACCGAGGUUA